AAAAUGGUUGAGUAUUGAAAGUUGUGUUUUAUGAUGAUGGAAAGAUGAAUUAGUGAAGUUUAGAUGGUUGGAGGUGACGUUGAAGCGAAGGAGAAGACUGAGUUGAAGUGGUGUAGUGAAUCAAGAAAGCAUAAAUAAUAAUGAGAGAGAGGGCAAAGUGAUAUUGGAAGAGUUUUGUUUUUCUUCUUUUUUAACAAAGAAU
rnacentral:lncRNA from 1 species